UGGGCCUCACUGCGCAGGACGUCGCCGUGACUGUGGCAGGACUUGAUUUCCUCCGGGACGGGGCUGCAUGCCAGUGAGAAGUAGACGAUUGCUUCUUGCUCAGCCAACACACACCUUCGGUCCCAACCUGAGUGCGUUCCUGUUCCACACACGCUUUCUAAAGCUCUCACCAGAGCCUCCUGAAAUUUCUGGGGAACAAACUGGUAAGUGUGCAGCACUGCAUUUUACCCCAGCUUUAAUUUUGACGGCAUCUUUUAUCACGAACGCCAUGUAUCAAGGAUUCGUCUUGAAAGUGGGGAAGAAGACUUCUGCAUUCUGUGGAAGGUGGUGGCUAAAUUCUCAAAGCCUUGUUCUUUUCUUUCUGGAAAGUUGAAAUAAUGCUUUCAAAUACAGUUUUUUCAUCAGAAUUCCUGGCCUCUUGGGAGAAGGUAUUCUGUGGAAGGAUUUUUAAUCCCUGUAGAAAUAGCCGGUGUAUAUUUUCAAUGUGGAGAGUACAUUUAUUUCCCGUGUUGUGGUUUUAUUUCCUUUGUAGUUGAUGGUUAAGGCUUUAUGGUUGUAAUUAUUUCUGGAGGCAGUAGCUGGAAUUAAUUUUCAUUUUUUCCUUAAUAUUAGCGGAUACUACAGCCACCAUUAAUUCGAGAGAAAGUGCAGUCAUGUCGUUGGGUGUCCUCGGGGGUGGGUUUCCAGAUCCCCAGAAGGUGCGAAACCCCACGGUGUCCAAUCCCUUCUCUUCUGUGGCGUGGUAUUUGCAUAAGCCCCACUCGGUCCUCCUGUGUCCCUUGCCUCAUUUCCAGGCUACUUCUGAAAGCUGGUGCAAUGUAAACGCUAUGCAGAUAGUUGCCACACUGAUUCAGGUCAAGAAUGACAAGAAGAUUUCACUACAGAUGAAAUUUUCUAACGUGUGUGACCCGUGCUCAGCAGAACGUGGGUGAGAUAACUUCUGCGAUGUGAGUCAUCUCUCCAGUGGAUUGUAUGUAAACAGUUAAAGUUGAGUGCUGCUAGAAACAUGUUUGCUCUCAUUCACCAAAGCUCUUGAAAUUCUCUCUCUCUCUCUUUUGGUACAGGAAUCGAACUCAGGACCUUGCGCUUGCCAGGCAGGCGCUGUGCGGCUGAGCUAUAUCCCUGGCCCCUAAAGCUCUUGAAAUCUUAUAAUUAAAAGGAAACUUGCAGCCGUGACCACUUAGCAAAACUUAAUGCAUUGUGCCUGUGGGUGGUGUGGGAUUGUCUGGAUCCCGGGCCAUUUGGGUUCUUUUAAAGUGGCUUAUUAUCUUUGCGUAUAAAUGUGGGACUUCCC
rnacentral:lncRNA from 1 species